UACGUAGGGGGCAAGCGUUGUUCGGAAUUACUGGGCGUAAAGGGCGCGUAGGCGGCACAGCAAGUCGGGAGUGAAAGCCCGGGGCUCUACCCCGGAACGGCUUUCGAAACUGCUGAGCUAGAGUACAGAAGGGGCAACCGGAAUUCCCAGUGUAGCGGUGAAAUGCGUAGAUAUUGGGAAGAACACCUGAGGCGAAGGCGGGUUGCUGGGCUGAUACUGACGCUGAGGCGCGAAAGCCAGGGGAGCAAACGGG
rnacentral:rRNA from 1 species